rnacentral:rRNA from 1 species
UACGAAGGGUGCUAGCGUUGUUCGGAAUCACUGGGCGUAAAGCGCGCGCAGGCGGCUUUGCAAGUCAGGGGUGAAAUCCUUGGGCUUAACCCAAGAAUUGCCUUUGAAACUGCAUGGCUGGAGUGUCGGAGGGGAUAGCGGAAUUCCUAAUGUAGUGGUGAAAUACGUAGAUAUUAGGAGGAACACCGGUGGCGAAGGCGGCUAUCUGGACGACAACUGACGCUGAGGCGCGAAAGCGUGGGGAUCAAACAGG